GGGGGCUUAGGCUACCAAUUAGACUAAGGGCCUUCAAAGCCCUUAGGCGGGAGUGAGAACCUCCCAGCCCCUG
rnacentral:tRNA from 1 species